CAUCGUUUGGUUCUGUUUUCUCAACAGUUUUGAACUUUAUCCAUGGUUAGGCUCAGCGUCAGAUGGGAAGAAGAGAAAGACUAGUCGGUACAGAGGAAUCAGGAGAAGGCCUUGGGGAAGAUGGGCCGCUGAGAUUCGUGAUCCAAUCAAAGGAGUUCGAGUUUGGCUUGAGACUUUCAACACAGCUGAAGAAGCUGCAAGAGCUUAUGAUCUUGAAGCUAAGAGAAUCCGUGGAGCUAAAGCUAAGCUCAAUUUCCCUAACGAAUCCUCUAGAAAGCGAAAAGCCGAGGCGCCUAAGACUGUGCAACAGAUUGAGGAGAAGCAUGAGGCUGAUCUUGGAUUGGCGGUGGCUAGCUCAGUGCCUAGUAGUAGCUGUCUUGAUUUCUUGUGGGAGGAGAAUAAUCCGGACACGCUUCUUAUCGAUACACAAUGGCUAGAAGAUGUCAUCAUGGGCGAUGCGAAGAAGAAACAUGAACCUAAUGAUAGUGAAGAAGCCAACGUUAAUGCUGCUCCGCUUUCGGAAGAGCUACUAGCUUUUGAAAACCAGACCGACAAUGCUGCUCUGCUUUCAGAAGAGCUACUAGCUUUUGAAAACAAGACAGAAUUUUUCUCGCAUAUGCCUUUUAUGGAGGGAAAUUGUGAUUCCUUAACGUCUCUGAAUAGUCUCUUUGAAGGAGGUAAUGACAUGGGUCUUUGGUCCUGAACAGUUCUAUUGUAAAAAUAAAAUGAGUGUUUAAUAUUGAGUUCCUGUUCGACUUGUAUGUAUUUAAAGGUUGUUCUUGUCAUUUUCAAAUGUCAAACAAAAACAGAUUGUUCAUAAAAAGUUCAAUGUCAAACAAAAACAGAUCGUAUGAAUCGUGUUUUGAUCUUUUUUGUUGGUUUAUGAAGUUUUAAGCAGAAUGUAUAGAAUCUUUGCGAAGAACAAAAGCUCGAUUCAUAUUUGUGAUAAAGCGCAAAAUAUAGUUUCGACUCAAACAAAAAGGUGCAGAACAGAAAAAUCUAAGGGUCUUAAGAGAAACAAGUGAGAAGAAAAAACAGUUACGGUUCGAUAACAAAAAAGCAUGUCUAUAACCAUGUAACCAUUGAGUAAAGGCUAUCAACUUUACUCCCAACCAGCAGCUGGAGCACCCGGGGGUGGCACAGCAGUGUCCCAUCCACCGUCUGCCGGUGCAGCUGGAACAGCAAAAAAAAAAAAAACGCAAGAAACAAAACAUUAAAAUCAUGAUUUGCAAGAAUAGUGUUCACACGGUUAUCUGUCAAAAACUCACCAGCGGAAUCACUCCAAGAACCAGCGGCAGGUGCAGCAGAGAUUGGAGCCUGAGCCUCUCCUGGCCAUGCAGCAUCAGGGAUCUGAGCGGUGGUCCAUUGGUCUCCACCAACCAUUCCAUAUUCCGGAGCAGGAAGUCCAUAUUCUGCCUGAGGGGCAGCUUCAUCUUCAUCCUCUGGCUUAGUCUCCUCAGGCUCCCUGUAAAAGAACAGAUCAACCUGUACAACAACACAACAUAUGUAGUAGUCGGUCAAUAAACAGGAAAAGUUUAAAUGAAUUGUUGUCUUUUUAAUCAAUGAGUUCCAAAAAUGAUAUUCCUCUUACCAUGACAUCCCACUUCUGUGCAGCACCAAUGGUUCCACGCAUCUGAAGGACCAUACGAGCAAGAAGCCAGAAAAGACACCCAAUGCUGUGCUUUCCCUUGUUGUUGGCAGGGAUACCAAUGUCAACAAAUCUCAUUGGAGAGUCAGUGUCACAGAAAGCAAUGAUGGGAAUGUUUCCCAAAGCACCUUCCUUGAUUGGCUGCAACACACACAAGACAUUAAUCAAUACAACAAGACAUCAACCAUAACUGGUACAAAUUUUAUAGAAGAUUUUACCUGGUGGUCAGUUCUUGGGUCAGUAAGAAUCAGCAGCCUGGGUUCACUGAAGGAUGUUUGCAUCUGAUUGGUGAAGGUACCAGGAGUGUGCCUUCCAGCAAUGGCAUUGGCUCCAGUGUACUGAGCAAACUUCAAGACGGCUCUCUGUCCAUAGGGCCUAGCAGACUGAACAAUGAUGUCCUGUGGGUUCUCAAUGGCAACAAUAACUCUAGCAGCCAUCUGGAGCUUAUCCCAUGUUUUGCCAAGGUUGAAGAUGUAAAUACCUGAGGAGGAAGAAAACUUCAAGAACUAAGUUCCUGGCACUAGCACUACUAAAACAGACUAACAAAAACAAACUCGAAUCAAAAUGUUCAAUCCCAAAAUUGACUUUUUUGUUUAAACACACAUAAAGAGAUACAAAUCAAACCAAAUGAAACAUGCGUCUAUACGCAUUUCUUCAUAUACACUUAAAAACAAUUUCUGCAAACAAGAACACUAAAGAAGACACAAAAACAAGCCUUUUCUUAGCUACGAAUGCAGAGAAGAAGUGUAAGUGAUGACAGAAACAGCUAGUUGCAGCAUUUGAGCAUUUUUUUAGUCAUUGACGUAUUUAGAUCCGUCAUGAAUAAACUCUACUUCAGAUAUAAAAACAACCUAUAAAUCCAAAACCAAAGCAGCAGCAACAAAAACAAACAGAUCAUCAACAUCCAUACAAAUCCAAAAUAUCAACACAGAAUCUCAACACUCGAAUCAACAACAUAAACACAAAUCCGAAAUAUCAACACAGAAUCUCAACACUCGAAUCAUCAACAUACACAAAUACAAACACUUUUAUCAAAAAAACGAGAGAAAAUACCAUCGUUGCGUCUCUUGAAGACGUAACGCUCCAUCUGGUAAUUGCAAUUCUUGGUUCCAAGAUGAACCUCAGCAGCACACAUCAUCCUGACGUCAGCUUCCUUCUGAGAGAGCUGCGCUGAGCUAGCAGAUCCAUUAGUCGCCAUUUUGUUAUCUCUCUUCUUCUUCUCCGGGAACUAAUCGCCGAGGUAAGCUUUUUGCUCUGUAAAUCACACGAAGAGGCGACGAAAGGCUUAUAAGGGUGAAGGAAUAUAUAUCAGGCAAAACCCUAAUUUGAGAAAUGUCUAUUCUACCCCCGAACUCGGUUCACCAAUUUUAAUCGAAGUUAACCAAAAUUAAUCACUGGUUUAAGUUCCGGUUUUUCUUAAACCGAAAUCCAAGUGUGCACACAGAUACAAAAGAUAAUUUCUAUUUCUGCUCUACUUCGAAGUUAGAAGAACCCUAACAUAACAUAAUCUCUCUCUUUCGAUCGCAUCUUCUUCAAAAAUUUCCCACCUGUAUUUACAAGUUCAAUGUUUGUGAAUUCUCCAUUGCUCUGUUCUUAGUCGCCUUUGAUUACUCUCGCUUUCUAUCCGAUCCAAUUGUGUGAUGAUUUUCUCUUGAACAAGCUCAUAAGGUUUCAAUUUCCCUAUAUUUCUUGAAAUUCUUCUUAAAUUUCUUCAAUUCUCGGGUCUUUUUUCAUUAUUGUGUCGUUUAUUGACAGUAUCUAGACAGGUUUGAGCUUUUAUCUCUGGAGAGAAUUCAUGGGUGUCUCGUUUAAGAUUUCCAAGGUUGGUAGAAAGUUUCGGCCUAAGAUUUCUACUGAAUUGGUUACUCCUGAUUCUCCAGAACAGCUGAAUUCGAAAGCAAAGGUAAUUUUACUUAGAAUUUUAGUUGUGUUGUGUUAAACUAAAUUCACUUAUAUUGGAAAAUUAUAUAGAUGUAGAUUACCAAAUUUAUUAUGUUUGGUUCAGGCUACUGAUGAAAGCAAUGUUGGUGAUGUUUCCGGGUUUUCGAAGCCAUCUUUGCCCGAUAUAUCUCCAGGUUAGCAUCUCAACGAACCACUUUGACACAUCUUGUUUUUGCUAAAUUUUAGCUAUGUUAAAUUGAGUAAAUUUUGGUUUCUAUGCAGAUCAUGAAGUUUCCUUCAUAUUGAGCCUCUAUCCAAAUGGGUACUCUAUAGGAAAAACCUCUGAGGUAUGUAGUAGAACUUCAUGUACUGAGUUGUCUAUAAUAAUUUAUUUUUUCUUGUAUUUGAAUUUCAACCUUUCACAUCUAACAAUUUUUUUUUUUACUUACCAGGCUCUGCAACAGACAUCCUUUCGAGAUGUUCCAAAGGUCUUACAUCCGUAUGAUAGGGCAGCAGAGGGUCUACUUUCGGUAAACAUUUUGAACUAUGUUAUUAGACCUGAUUUCAACUUGUAAUUAAAGUUUUGGUGAAUGAAUUCAAAGUACUGAGAUUUAGUAUAUGUGAAAAUGAUGUUUUUUUUUUCACUUGUUCAACCCGAAUAAUGCAUUUCACUGCACUACUUGCUCGCAUUUUGUUAAAUACACUUUCCGAGUUAUCAUUCUACUGAGUAAAUGUUUUUAAUCCCUUUGUAUGCUUUAUAGGCUAUUGAGGCUGGCAGGCUUCCUGGGGAAAUUUUGGAAGAUAUACCUUGCAAAUUUGUGGAUGGGGUGGUUAUAUGUGAGGUGAGUUAUCUGCAGUUAUUUAUUGGGAUAAAGCCUUCCAUGACCUGCCAUCUAGUCAAAGUAAAAUAGUAGUCCCAAAUAGUCAUAAGCCUUUAAAAUUAGUUCUUAUCACCAUACUUCUAGUUCCUGCGUUGCCUUUCCAUAAGUUCUUGGAAACAGUCCAAAUUUAUAUAAAUAUUCAAAAAGAGCUCUAUAACUUUACUUAAAAAAAAUAUUAUCUACACUAAUCGAGAUUGAAAAAUGUCGUGAACGUGUUAUAAUUGCAUGGAAGUUUGUCUUACGAACUCAAUUGUACGUGUAUUUGAUUGUUUCUGAAACAUAAUGGAGGAAUUGGAACCAUAAGUAAACAUAAAAUAACUUAGUUAUAUUUUUUUUUUAAUUGACUGCUGCGUAUCAUCUUACAUCAUCAUGUUUUCUUUAUUUUUUGGUACAUACUAUUGUAGGUGCAUGACUAUCGGAAACACACCCCAGCUCAAGUCUCUCCUGUGAUAAAUAAAUUGCGCCUUAAGAUGUCACUUGAGAAUGUGGUAAAAGAUAUUCCAUCAAUGUCAGACAACUCAUGGACUUAUGGUGAUCUCAUGGUAAUCAUGGUAGCUCUUGGAUUAUAGGUCGUAUAUCUGAGCACUGAAACUAUUAUCUUCUGUACUGAUCCUUACAUCAACUGCAGGAAGUGGAGUCCAGGAUAUUAAAAGCCUUACAACCUGAACUCUGUCUGGAUCCUGUACCCAGACUUGAUAGGCUGAGUAAAAACCCUUUGUCUGCUAAAGUAAUAUCUCAUUAAAAAGACUCCUUGUGCUUUCUCUUCUCAGUUGUUUUUUAUAGUGUCUAAAAUGGAUUUUUUUUCCUCUACUCGAUAGCUCGAUUUGUCGCUUUCUACUUUACGGAGAAAGAGAUUAAGGCAAAUGGCAGAAGUGACAGUCAUGUCUCAGAAUAAGAUUCAUGGGAAAAAGGUUUGCAUUGAUCGGGUUCCGGAAAGUUCAGAUCGGGGAAAUAUGCCAGGGCAUUUGAUAAUGCAGCAAACCCAUAACAACCAGGCUAUUCAGAACCUUGGUACUAAUAUGCUGGUGGGAUUAAGAAGUCAGCCGUUGCAAGAUGCACCAAAUUCCUCUCUAGCCUUGGUACCACCUCAGCAACAAAGGUACCUGGGAACUGGAAAUAUAAGAAACAUGCAGGAUCAAGGAUCAAAUUCUGUCAGCGUUUCUUGCGCUUCGCCUGGUGGACUAGAUGUGAUGCUGCCUUAUGGCUCUGAUAGUAUGAACCCUGGUACAUCUUUUCAUAGAAAGAGGGAAAGUCAAGAAGGACAAAUGUCUUCUAUGCCUGGUUUGAAUAAGCGAACAAGGGUUUCACAUAUGGGUCCUGAUGGGGUUCCGCAGCAACAGUUAGGGCAACGCAUGGAUGGCCUUCAUGGAACCGAUACAAAUUGGAAAAAUACGCUUCUACAACAGCAAGACAUGCUAGGCAGAAGUAUUCAGUAUCCAAAUACAAGUACACAGAGGUUUUCACCACACCAAAUGGAAGGGGUUUUGAAUCAGGAAGGUGGUCCCAUGCAAUUUCCAGCUUCACAACAGGGGGCACCGAGAUACACUUCGAAAGAGGAGCCAUUUGAGACUGGUAAAAUUGAUGGUGGCACCAGAAACAAUAUUCCGGGGGGAAGUGACACAAAUGAUUUGGAUCCGCGUAUUCAGUCAAGGAUGCCCCAUAAUGCAUACAUUAGAUCAAAUUUCCCUCAAACAUCCUGGAAUGUUAAUCCUGGCCAGCAGAUCGAAAAAGAGCCAAAGAAAGAAGAACAAUUUAGUCGUAGGAUAUCGGCUCAAAGUCCUCGUUUGUCGGCAGGUGCUCCACCACAGUCCCCACAUUCAUCGAAGUCUGGUGAGUUUUCUGGUGGUUCAAUGGGGACCCACUAUGGAGCAGUUGCAGCAGCUCAGAAGGACAAGGCUGUUACUUCUAUACCUGCUAUUGGUGCCACUCAGUCAGUGGGUUCUAGUGCUAAUGAUGCUAUGCAGCAAAGGCAACACCAAGCCCAAAUGGCAAAACGGAGGACAAAUUCUCUUCCUAAGACGCAAGUUAUCAGCACUGUUGGUUCUCCUGUUAGUGUCAAUACUAUUAGUGUCCCAGUUAAUGCAAGGAGCCCUUCAGUGGGACCCCAAACUUUGGGCGAUCACGCAAUACUGGACAGAUUUUCAAAGAUUGAACGAGUUGCUGCUAGGUAUGAAUGUUAUGAAACCUGUUUUACUGAUUUUAUUUCCGUCAAAGUUUAUAUGUCAAAGUUUAAAGUUUCUUGUUCCAUUUUUAGGUACCAACUAAACUGCAAAAAGCAUAAGGUGGAUGAGUACUCUCGAAGACCUCGCGUGUAUGCUAAACAGUCCUUGACUGUUUGUUUAUCGAACCUGUCUAACGAAGAGGUCUUCAAAGACGAGGACAAAGCAUUAUCAAAAUCUAUUCUUGGUGGCAGUAUGAAUACAUGCAAGACUAGAGUCACAAACUUUUUUCAUAUGGAACGUGUAAUGCAAGGUCUGUUUUCUGUUAACUAGAUAUCUGGCGAUUGGUAUAUUUCUCUAUGUGAUUAAAUCUGACUCCAGUAUAUUUUCAGGUACCGUCCCUUCCUUCGUCCCUAGAAUACGAACAAAACUGGUGAUGUCAGAGAAGGCCGUCGAUGGGACCGUAGCAUGGUAUCAAGGGGACGUAGAUGAAGGGGAUGUUUCUCAGGCUGAAGAUUUUCUCUUAGCGUUGCCCAAUACAGUAAGUUAACAGGAAAUUUGAUAGUUAUCAAUCUCCCCUGCAUUCAAUGUUAUGUUGACUUUACAUUCAGUGAUGUUUAUAGGUUGUCGGGUCUUGUUCUUGGGGUUUAUGUCUCUCUUGUGAAUGUUUUGUGUAAUUAUGAAUAUGGUUGGUUGUUCUAUGGAUACUUCUCUCUUGUUAGUUGCUUAUGCUCGUUUAUCCUUCUCGUCCAAUGUGAUCGAAAGGGGAUGGACAAUGGAUGAUUAAUUUUUCUCUUAUAUAUGCCACUUAUUUUCUGGAAGCUAUGCUGACUUGCUUAUUCCUCACUUUGUCACAGCACAUUGCCGAUCUACUUGCUAAUCAAUUUAAAUCACUGGUAUUUCUCGAGUUCUGAAUCGAUUAUAUCAUGUUCCUGGUUCUAUGGUAAAGCUACUUACAGAUUGAUUUAUAUGCUUAUGCAGAUGACCCGUGAAGGAUACAUGAUCGAAGAACAUAUUCUGGCAAAGCCAAACCGUGGGGAUACUGGCCCAAUCAGCAACCAACCAAAUUCUGCAGGUGGUUAUCCAAGAGGUUACUCUGCAAACGAUAUGCAACAGUAUGGAGAUGCAGUUGCAGGGCAAGCGUCUGGCGAGGCAUCAAAACAGGGGAAUACUGGAAAUGUGCCUAAUACCUCAACCCAGAAUAUUCUUGCAAAUGCAAGGAUGCUUCCUCCAGCAAAUUCUCAAGCCUUGCAAUUGUCUCAAGGACUGCUGUCUGGUGUCUCCAUGCCUAUGCAACCACAACAGCCUGACCCACAACAGUCAGCGCUACUGUCAUCACAUUCACAGCAGAAAAAUCAACAGUCCAUGUUUACACAGCAACAGCAUCCACAAAUGCAGAGACCAUCCAUGAUACUGCCUACAAAUCCACUAUCAGCCAUCAACUCGAUUGGCCAGAGCUCUGGUAUGCAGCCGGGUGGUCAGAUGGCCAACAAGUAUUCGCCUCUUCAACUGCAGAUGUUACAGCAGCAGCAGCAGGCGGCAAUGCAGAAGAAGAUAAUGAUGGGGCUAGGAUCAGGUGUAGGCAUGGGUAUGGGUAUGGGCAUGGGCAUGGGUAUGGGGAGCAUGGGAAAUAGUAUUGCUGGGCUUGGAGCUUUAGGCAACCAAUUGAAUAUGGCAGGAAGAGGGAUUGGGGGAACCGGAAUCUCAUCAUCAAUGUCUGUUCCUGGCAUCGGUAAUAUGGGCCAGAACCCAAUGAAUCUGAAUCCAGCAUCAAAUUUGAAUGCUAUAAGCCAGCAACUCCGAUCCGGUGCGUUAACACCCCAACAAAACGCUCUGUUUACACAGAUUAGGAUGGGCAUGGCAAACCGAGGAGGUGUAAUGGGUGCUCCUCAAGCCGGGAUAAGUGGCGUGUCAGGUACGAGGCAGAUGCACCCCAGCUCAGCUGGUAUAUCCAUGUUGGAUCAGAAUUCAUUAAACCGAGCUAACCUGCAGCGAGCUGCUGCUAUGGGUAACAUGGGCCCACCUAAGCUGAUGCCUGGAAUGAAUCUCUACAUGAAUCAACAGCAGCAGCAGCAACAACAACUCCAGCAGCAACCCCAACAACAACAGUUGCAGCAUCAGCAACAGUUACAGCAGCCUAUGUCUCAGCCAUCUCAGCAGCUAGCUCAGUCUCCGCAGCAGCAGCAGCAGCAGCAGCUACAACAUGAACAGCCUCAACAAACACAGCAGCAGGCAACAGCAUCCCCUCUUCAGUCUGUGCUAUCACCAGCCCAAGUAGGUUCGCCAUCAGCUGGAAUUACCCAGCAGCAGCUACAACAGUCCAGUCCCCAGCAAAUGAGUCAGAGAACUCCAAUGAGUCCCCAGCAAAUGAACCAAAGAACUCCUAUGAGUCCUCAGAUAAGCUCGGGUACAAUGCAUCCCAUGAGCACAAGCAACCUCGAGGGUUGUCCAGCGAGUCCACAGCUUAGUUCUCAGACAAUGGGAUCUGUUGGUAGCAUCACCAAUUCUCCAAUGGAGCUUCAAGGUCCCAAAAACAACUCUGCUGGUAAUAAUUCCUGAUCAAGAACACUAUAAUUAUGGGUAACAUUAUUUAUAUUCAGGAACCCUUUGCUUCACAACAUGAGUUGUUAUCUAAUUAGGGACAAGCAGAGAAAGAGUUUUUAGUUCACCGUCUUACGUUUUGCUUGUACAUUAGGCUUUUGAAAUUUAAUAUAGAUUCAUGACCAAAGCCUGUAAAUGAAAAAGUUAAGAAUCUGUUGUGCUCUGCAAGUGAAAGUGCCAUUAUUAUUAGGUUGUUGAUAUGUAACCACUGUCUGCUUCAGACUAUUUGGAAGUUUUUGUUUAAGCUUAAUAAUUAAUCUGUUUUGUUCAAUUGUUGUGCUUUGCCACUGCUACCCUUGUAAAGAUAAGAAGUAACUUUUGAUUUGUACACUACAGUUUCAGCUAUGAUUUGUUGGGAAAAAAAAAAAAAAAAAAUUUCGUUGCACAACCAGAUGCUCUUGAAUAUGUGAAUUUGCAUCAAUAUAGAAGAAUAUGUGAAUGUGAGAAGGCCAGAAACACAUGCGAUUUUCAAAACUGGCAAAAUAACAAUGUAGUUACAAAAAUCGUGUUCACUAAACAAAAUGUACACACAACAUCGAAGAAGUUACCAACCAGUUCGUCGGGAAAAAGACCCGUCUUUGAAAUCUGCGAUAUGAUACCAAAAAUCUUGUACAGAUUUUGGAAACAUCAAAAGAAUCUGUCUCUUUUCUCUCUUUACCCACGCAACUCAAUCCUCAUCCAAGUGUCGCUGCCUUCGAAUCAUUUCCUUUGCCACGGAAUGUGGAGAGCGAGAAGAACGACUUUUGCGCUGGAAAGGAAGAAACAAUAGGAUUCAUUUAAGGGAAUAACGAAUGGAGAAAUCUUGCAUUCUGUAUGAGUGAAUAUGCAAGAAAAGAAAAAACAAGUUUUGACCUUUGAAGUUGCUUCCAGACAUUUGAUGAUCAUCUUUCAGCUCAGGUAUAGAGAUGUUAGAAGCUUGAAGAAGAAAGACAAGAACAACUAAAUAUGUAAAGAGCUCGUGAUAGCAUUAAACAUAGGAGAGGGAAGAAAGCAAUAUUAUUUUACCUUGUUCAGGGAAUUCGCUCUCAUUAAAUCCAUCCUCAGAGAGAUGACUCUGUAGAGAUCCCAUUCUCGACUUUCUUAAAUCCUCUGAUGAUCGAUCCGCAAAGUCUCUCCUAUCUUCAACCUCAUCAUCUCCUUCCGAAGUCGUUACAGAUACCCAAUCCAUCAUCAAGCUUUCUGCUCCGCGGCUUUUUCUUCCAAACUUUAGCAACCGUUUAAACCCUUUACUUAAAUCCUUCUUUGACUGGAACUGAGACGUAUUAUUAGCAGCAGCAACGGUAACAGGACUCUGAGCCGUUCCCCAUUUCUUUCUCAUCCGAGAACUCCAAGAAGCAGGGCUUCCCAUGGGAGAAUCCACAGAAGCAUCAACAUCAGACGAGUUCUCAUGAGGAUAGCUGAAUGAGUGUUGCAGGUUUGUGUUCCAAGAAAGAGGACUUUCCCCAGGUGAGUCCAUUAACGAGGCAAGCAAUGUCGUAGGCACAGUAGCGGGUAAAAAACUACAAUUCUCUUCUCCUGAAUGAUCAACUUUCUCGUAUGCUUCGCUUAGUGUUGGAUUCCCAUCCUCAAACACCAAUGUUUCCAGUUCUUCCACUUCUUCUUCUUCGUCUUCUCUAACAGCAUUCUCCAAGACUUCUUCUGCAUCAGCUUCAGGUUCAUCAUAUUCUUCAUUUCUCAGAUUGUCAGAUAUAUCAGAGUCCACUCUUAGAGGGGCCAUCAUAUCAUCAGAGCAGAGAGUGGACAGUUCCGUAAAAUCUAUGUUCCCAGAGGAGCUUUUCCUUAAUGAUCGAGGUCUUUGGAGAAGUGUAUCUUCCUUGGUAUUCUUGGUGCGACCACUACUUCUCACCUGUGAUCGCAUAGUAGUUUUGACAGCUAAAGAAGAUGGUUUCGUGUUUUCUUUUAUAAGUUCAGAAAAAUUUGGAACAGAUUGUGCAAGCGACUUGUCUGAUCUUCGCCUCCCAGAAGAGGUGUUUGAAACUUUACCUGAUGGUUUCGGAACCGAUGCUGCGGUUCGCGGGGUGAUAAAAGAAGGCAUGUUCCUGUUGGGCUGAAGCUUUCUAGCUUGGGAAAUCCGAGAAGCAAUGUUGCCAACUAAUUGCGGUUGGCCACUGGCUGCUUUAUCUUUUGCCCGAGGUUUCUGUUCAGAGCAAUCUUCAUCUUCUUCGCUCUGGAAUGAGUUUAUAGGAUGCUGCCAAUAAGACAGUAUCAUCAAUAACAAGUCUUCACAAUUUGGAAACGGAGGAAGAACAUUUCUAAUGGACCUAAGAACAUUUCUAAUGGACCUAAUGCUAAGUUACCUGGUACUUUUUCAUACUUGACCGAGAGUUAAAAGACCUAAAUUUCUCUGCACGCUGACGAGUACUUGAAAGCAAAUCUCUUCUCUCAGAAGAUGUAGCAGAGAGCUUAGCUUUCAUCUCGGUCCUACUUUGCUCAAGAGCCUCUUGCAUCGACUUCAGUUUUGUUUCCUUCUCACCUUUUUUCAAACUCCAUUCUUCUCUCAGUUUGGCAUCCCUUUUCUUCAUAUACGUCUCGUAAAACUUUCCUUUAGAAUCAUCUGUAAGACUAAGGUCCGAUAAAUUCCGUCGCAGUGCAUCCUCUUUGUCUUUUUCACAAACCAAGGGAGUCAUAAGCUUUGAGAGAUCAGCAGAACCGCCACCAAGAGAAAGCCUUUUUUCUGCAGCCACUAUAGAAAGAGAUGGUUCUGGGUGUGCAACUUGGGUUUCACUUGGCUUACCACGUCUGGAAGAACUUGAUUGAUCUCCUGGAACCCGGAGUUUAUGCUCAGCAAAAAGUUUUUCAAGCUCAUUUGCCUUCAUUUUCAACUCAUCAUUAGCCCCCGGAUUUUCCUUUAACAGUCUUGUCCUCUGUAUUUGAUCCACCGAUGCAGUGGGAAACCUAUUACUGUUAGCUCUAACCUGCCUGCCCUCCUCAUCGUCAGGACCAUCCCUCACAUUAAAAUGUGGUUUAUGAGAUAACACUGGUUGUUCGUCUGAUGGAACCACUUCUUUCUUCUUGAUCCUGCCAAAAGAAUAUCUAGACUGCGGUUGAGAAGCCAAAUCCUCCUUAAAACUAGCUUCUAUAUGGGCUGACCGAGAUCGUGUAUGUCGAGAAGGAAACAUGGCUGAUGAUUGUGAUACAUUGUUGGCUUUGAGUUCAUAACCCUCCUCUCUCUGUCUGGAUUUAGCAUCACUCAUGACAUUCCGUAGCCUAUCGACAUGACUAUCAGUCUGGUUUUGUGAAGCAGAAGAGUCAUUCGAACCAAUGACUGAUCUGGACUGAGCAUCAGAAGUUGCUUCAACUCCUGAAACCAAACUCUUUUCAGUGACAGUUUUGGAACUCUCGACUCUAUCUCGAGAAGCUUCUUCACCACCAACUUUUUCGGAGUCACUCUUCAGCUCAUAUUUGACCUCAUCGCCUUUUUUAACGCUUUCAUUGAAAUCAGUUAAAGAUAUGGUAUGAGGAACAGACAAAGAAGUCGAAGAGGGAUCCCCCAGGAAACUCUCCAACUUCUUUUCCGAUGCCAAAUCAGUGCUCAUGUCACUCACAAUACUGCUUCUUCUCAGGAUAGGUUUCUCAGAGGAAGAAACAUCCGAGGAGAGUCUCCUCAACUCGGUGGAUUUAGUAACAGAUACAGGUUUGCUUCCCCCAGAGGGUGAGUUUUCCUUCUGUUUGUUUUCAAAGAGGUUAAUUCUAUCCUGCACACUGAGUCGUCUUGUGUGUUGGCUGCUCUUAACUGUAGAAGAGGUUACAUCCAAACUCUCGUCACUUUUUUCCUCUUCAUUCCUUUUGGUGGUACUUGUCGUAGCACACUGUUGAAUUUGAUGUUCUGAUUCGUUUACCACAUUUUGCUUCUGGCGCGUGCUAUCUUUUUGGAGGCUGACAUUGUCAACACUAGCCAAGUGAUUCGAGAACUUCAUGUCAAUCAAGUCUGGCCUUUUCUUCCAUAGUGAGAUAUAUUUACUGCAUACUUCACUGAGAGAAACAUUCAAAUUCGAUCAAAUAACAAAACAUGAAAGAAAGGUUUAGUCAAAUGAAAAAUAAUAAAAAACAGUAAAAGGCUUACUCCAAAUGAUGUGCACCAAAUCUUUCAGCAAAUUGUUGGAGUUCGGAAAGAGUAUGAGGAUCGAAACCGCUAGCUGAUGCAUGAGAAAUGGACGUUGUUAAGUCCUUUAUAAUAGCUUCAAGUCUUAAGUCUAUAGCCCUUAAGAGCUCCUUCCUGAAAAUAGAGAAGAAAAAGUAAUCAAUAAAAACUUUAUAUACAUGCACAACAAACAUAAAGGCAGAAUAGCUUUACUUUGUGGCAUCUGCUGCAGCUCCAUCAUCUGAAACGGAAUGAAAUAGGAUUCAAAUUGAUGUUCAAGAUCAGUAUUCCCCGGAACGAAAAAAAGAUACGAGCAAUGUAACAACAGUAAAAUCAAACACACCUAAUGCACCAAACUUUGAGUCUUCGCUCCGCUUUAAGAACCAAAAAAAAAAAAAGACAACAGAAAUUUAGGAAAGAUCGGUCAAGAAUCACAACAGAAGUCAAGUUUCAAAAAUAGUGCUUUCAACCUGCGAAUAUAAUGUCCGAGCUGCUUCCAACUGCAACAUCUCUGAAUAAUAUGUAUUGACCUUUUCUAGAGUUUCUGGACUACUAACAAACUGAACAAAUCUGAAAGAUAAAUGGUGGAAGAAACUAUUACUAUAUCGAAAAAAGGCUGUGCGCAAAGAAACAAAAAUGAUAUUGAAUUUUCUGUAAUAAACCUCUCUAAUGUUCUUUUAGUAAACCAAGUGUUGCUUUUCUCCACCUCCAAUCUAAUAGAGGAUUGAGCAACAGGCGAAUAUUGUGCUUCAAGAACUUUCAAAUGAUUCACAAAGGGUUGGAUCAACCCCGAAGCUAGCUUCUCUGUCUGUUCAUUGCUUGAUACAAACAGUUCACAUCUGUCAAAAGAAAAACACGCUUCUUUAUACAGAACAAACUAGAAAUCAGGAUAUCUUGAAGUGGAACAUAUACUAACCUUGAAUGCUUUGGCGACAAUUCGAAUAUUGCAUAGUCAAGAACCGUAUCUGACCUCAUUCUCACAAGACCAGAUUGCUAACCAACCAGCAGAAAUAUCACUGAGAGUAACAGAAUCCAACUGAAAAAAACUCAAAUUUAUGCCAAGAAACCUGAGGAGACAAUAAUAGAAACUGUUACUCAGAGAUUAAAAAAGCCAACUUGCUAACAAUCUUGAAAGCAAAAGACUAAUGAAACUUUAAUCGGAAACAAAGAAUCCCGGAAAUGGAAAAGGUAGACAAAAACAGGUCAUGAACAAUAAAAAUCGCCAGACAUAGAAAUCGAGGAUCUAAUCAUCAGAACCAGAUGCUUCUCAGAUCUGUCUGAUUCCACUACUAAAGUAAAGACCCAACCUUAAAAAUCCAAACUUUAAUAUAUCCAAUGAAACAAAAUAUCCACAGCUCAAAACUCAAAAUCAUGCAAAAUCCACAAAGAACAUACCAAGAUCCUCCUCUUGCCGAUCCAGCAUUGAGCUGGGAACUUUCCGAUUCUUAUCUUAAUCCAAGUUCUAAAUUGCCACUAGAAGUAGAGGUUCAGAGAGAGAGAGAGAGUGAAAAAAGAAGACGAAACCCUAACAAUGUCAGAGUUAAUGUCGUCACUUCACUACUGGUUUUGCUCAAAAUGCAAAAUCUUUCUUUCUUUCUUUCUCCCACCUAAGAAGAUUUAGCUCUGUCCCUUUAUAUCCACCACGCUCGAAACCAACACACGCACACUUUCUCUCUCUCUCUCUCUAUCUACGUAGUCAAAAAGACAGAGUCUUUAGAGAGAGAGAAUAUGCGAAGAGUUGUCAAGAGAGAGAGAGAGAGAGAGAGUUUCCUUAUUCAGACAACUUCUUUUCCGACGAAUGUCGUCUUCGAUUAGGAAAUUAAUCCAAGGCUACGCCGCGAGAGUCAACAAAAAAAAAAAACAAAGAUACAGUCCUCAGUACGGAGUUUACCAAAAUACCCUCAAAAUAUCCUCAGGGCAAUAAAGUCGUUUAAAACUUUUCUAUAAAGCCUCUGAGGAUGAGGGCAAUAUCGUAACUAAAUAUUGUUCGAAGUCUAGGCUCUACCAAAAUAACAAAUACACAUCAAUUUAAAACUUGCAAUAAACGUUAUAAAAUUAGUACAGUUUAUUUUAUUUUAUGGUUAAAUAUUCUUAAAUUUAUUGGUCAUGCAAAGAAAAAAAUUACAUCCAAAAACUAAAGAUUUUAAAAAAAAAAAAGUUUUAAAACAGAAUCUCAAAUUUUAAAAAAAAAAAAAACAUGACGGACUAUAAUUUGACAUCUUCUUCCUUUAAAAUCAAACCACUCUAGAAGAAGGUUUUAGAGCCGCAGUGUUUUAUGAUAAUGAAGGAAGAUUAUAUUAUAGUAGUAUAUGGUUCUGAAAAGUAUUGUUGAUCAAUUUUGGGGUGAAAAUUGCAAAUGGCAAUUCUUACAGUAACAUAAUUGCUGGCAAUUGUAUUUUUCACCAAUCAAACAACCCUAACAUUCUAAUGUAGCAUUAAUUUUCAUUAAAUGUUCUUAAAUGUAUAUGAAAUAUUGUACCUAAUCUCAUUUAUUAUCUGAUUAGUUUUGCAACGAACCAAUGUUUGGAUGUUUUUGGGUUGCCAACAAUUCCACAUGGCCACGUCAUCUGUUUGUUACGAUAUUCUUUUGGUGUUGUUUUAAUCAGAGUAAUCAGAUCAACAUCUAUAUGACACUGAUUCCGUACGAUUCGAACCGGUAACUCAGCAUUUAGCCAGCCAAUUUGACAUUGAGCAAUAAGAAGCAAGAUAAAGAUUAAUGGGCCUUAAAGGCCCACUUUAGAUUGGACUUAUUAGACCUUCCACCCUCAAUUUAGCCCAUACUUUUGUUACUUUGUUUUUUCUUUUCGGUCGCACACAAAACAAAAAAUGUUCAAUAGAAGACAGUAAUUUUUUCCUGAGUAUAUAUGUGUAUCAGCAUGUUAGGAAUCACUAGUUCCCAGCAUAUAUAUAAUGCUUUAGUAAUUUAAGAAAAAAUAUGAAUAAAAAAAAUUAUAAAUGUUCGAAAUUGAUUAUCAUAAUUUAUACAGAAAAUAUGUUUGGUUUAAUUACAAAAUUAUAUUAAAAAUGAGCGACGUUUUUACAAGUCGGAGAAAAUAAAAAAAGCAAUGGACCAGAUUCGUUGUAAAGGCCACUAAAUAUGAUCAACUUGCUGAUAAAAACACAUUUAUUUCUUUUUCAUCCAACUUGUAACUUUGUUUACCAUAUAAAGUUAUAGUAGUGGAUAACAUGAUUUUUUUUUGUAUAGAUCAACAAUUUUUUGUUCUAUGUACAAUAUUAUUUUUAGUCAAAUGAAAUAUAUAAAAACGAAGGGAAGAAGAGUCUCGCAGUCGCAGGUCUGAGAAAAUAGUGGAGAUUUGGAAUUUACGAAAAAUAAAAAUAUGACAACUUAUGAGUAACUUUUGUUUCUCGGUCCUACUUCCCAAACGCUUCCAAAAUAUCCUCCCAUUCCUCACGGCGAAGAAAGAUAUGGGUGUGACUGGGAGUAAUUAGAAGAAAAAGGAAGAAAUGAAAUGAGAAGAAUUCAAAAGAAAAGAAAAAUCAAAGUUGGAAGAAAAAAUUCUUUCAUGUAUUUACAGAAUGAAUCUUUUCAUUUGCUUCUAUUAAAAGUAGAGGAAUUGAGAAGAUUUUAGUGAACAAUAAAUUUUUUUUGACUGGUUAAAAUGUAGAUUAAUUGAGAAUAUUUUUAUUUCUUCUCAUUUAUUUUCCACUAACUAAGCUAACCAGUCACACCCAUACUAAUUCCAAUUUCUGUAAAACUGAAUCAAAUACGAGAAUUCAUGGAGUUUCAUGAUUCAUCAUAUCAAAUAUAAUUAUUAAAUUUUUUUAUUCGUUCAGAUACAAUAUUAAUAUUCUAACUUUAUACGAAUACUCUACUUUUAGUGUGCAUUAAUGUACUUUAACAAGGGAAAAAACAAAAUUGUGCAUAACUCAAAAAGGAUAUUGAAACGACGACCUAAAGGUUUGAUACAAAUCAAACAUAUGAAGUUCCAUAAAAAUGUAUACAAAAUUACACAUACCAUAUUUUUCUAGCACCACGACAACGGAAAUAAAACAUAUGAAGAUCCAUAAAAAAUGUAAUGUUAACUUCGUCAUGCUCUACUUCUUAGAUCUUCUAUUGCCAACUUGGAAUCUCGUCGAUGGACCACCUACCUUUAUUAAAACAUCAAUGGUCAACAUCGGUUUCAUGAUAAGGCUGAAAUAAAUUCUACAACAUACAUUUUCAUUUCAAAAGUUUCUUUUUGUAAUAUACAUAAACAUAAAGAAAUAUAAGGGAAAAAAAUUAAAAAUCAAUCAGAAAGACUAUAAACUACCUUACUAGAACUUAUACAACAACAGUUGUCAUGAGCGUUAAUUUUGUUCGGAAUAUCAUUUGAUAAAUCAUCCCGAUGCACCGACGUGCCCUUAACCGGCGAAUACGAACGAGUUUUGAAUUGAUUCACAUCAUCCUUCAAUAAUUCUUCAAACAACUCUUCAAAUUCCUCUAAACUUUCAUCACCCUGCUUCAAAAUAUGCAAUUACCAUAGCCAUUAGCAUAAUAAUCAUAAUAGUAAUGCGUAGUUUGGUACCAAUAACUAGUAAUUGUACAAAAGUAGUUUGCUACCGUAGAUUGAGUUUGAGCCAUCAGCGUCACCAUCUCAUUUAUGAAAUCAGCCAUUCCCUAAAACGCAAUAAGUUGACAUUGAUUUAGACAUAUCGGUAAUUAAAUAAUCAACAUUUCUGACUCAUGUAAAAGAGAAAUAUCUACAAAAACCUACAGUUUCGUCGUCAUCACUAUCAUAAGCACCGACGUCAUACAACAGCCUCUUGUUGGAAUCCGACAAAACUGUUGUGAACACAAAUUGACUAUUAAACCGGAACAGACCAAUACAACAUUUGGAUCCGGUUUAGAAGAAAACCGGGAGAAUUUUACCAGAAUAAGCUCGUUGAAUGGACUGAAAUUUCAUCUUGGCUUCAUCUUUCUCAAUAUCUUCAAGAAACCGAUCUGGAUGCCAUUUCUACACCAACAAACAUACAAAAAACUAUUCAAGAAAAAAGAAUCGGAUCGCAUUCAGACAAAAAAAAAGAUAGAGAAAAGAUGUGAAAACCAAACCAGAACAAGGUUCUUGUAAGAAAGUUUGAGAUCUCUUUGCGUACAUUCAUUGUUCAAAUCCAUAACAGCGUACAAGUCUUCCUUCUCCAUUGAUGAUGAUGAUGAUGAUGAUAUAAGAAUGAGAAAAAGCAAGAGCACUUCUUUGGAGUUUAUUGGAAGCAAAGAGAUAAAGAAAGAUCGAGAUUAAUGAAUGUAUAGAUGUGUGGAUACGCGUAAACGUGGAAGAAGAGAAGAGAAGGUUAAAGAAGAAGAGUUUGAUAUUUUGGGUAUCGUGCUUUUGUGUUGUAUAAUACUACUAUUUAUAUAUGAGAUUAGGGGUAGGGUAACAAAGAAUGAUCGAGAAACUCGCCACUUGAACUAGUUGUUUAAUUAUGUUUAUCCUCCUUUUAGACAACAUCUUUUAAAACUAAAAGUAGUGUAUUAUUUUAUUACUUUUUUCCUAGUUUGUGAAUUGUGUGAGUAUACGCAACCAAUUUUGAACAAGGCUACAUCUCUUUUUCUUUUCUUUUUUAAAUUGUUUUAGCUUUUAAGAAUAAAAGAUUAAGCUAAUUUUUUUUAAAAAAUACGAAAACAUUACUACGUGUUUUUUUUUUUCUUACCGAGUGAAAAUAAUAAUUCGUGAACGGUAGGUAAUAUUUUGGUAAGAUCAACAGCGUGAAUUCGUUGUAAUUUUGGCUUUGAUUUUAUUAAUGUGUAAAUUAGAUUACUUGUGGAUCAUUUGGUCAAGUUUUAUGUAGAUUACAAAAUGUUUUUGUUAACAAAUCUUUUAGUCAGUGUAACAAAAUCCGAGUACUCAUGUUAGAUAAAAAUAAAAAUUAUAAUCAAGAUUGGCACAAAAAAAAGAAAUUAAAUAUUUGAGCGACGACUCUAGAACAUCGAAAUUAUUUUGUAAUAAUCUGAAUGCAUUCUUCUUGUUUUGACGGCAUAUACAACGUUGAGGAAUUUACAUAUUUUUCAUAUAUGCUUCUACCUACUCCUGCUAAAAUUCAAAUAAAGGAUUUGUAUAAUGAAACUUAAUUAAGGUCAAAUAUCUUGAAAACUUUUUUUGUUCAAAAGCAUAAAACUUGUAUUGUUACCUUUUCAAUAAUUAAAUAAUUUUACUUUAUGGUCACUUUAAGGUAAAUAAAAUUGAGCAACUUGCAAUUCUGGCCCAUUUUUCUUUUCUAUUAAAACCAAUCAACUUGCUUUAAGUCAAUUCAUAAACGUUUUUGUUCAUCAACUUGGAUCCGGUUAACCCAAAUCCUGGUUUUACAAAUAAACCAGACAACAACAAUCUUUAUAUGGUUCUCAAAUUGUUCAUCAGAAAGCUUUUUCAUCAUCAUUCAUGGCAUUCUCACUGCUUUGACCCAGUCGAUUUCGACUAGGAAAUCGCCUGCGCCUGAUUUAGCUCCAAUGAAACCACCUCCUUGUGCGUUAACAGAUAGAGACAUACCAACAACACGACCUGGAUUCAUCUCCAUAUCUGCAUCUAUCACAUUUCCUUUCCAUGUUGGUAAGUAGCGAGUAAGAGGAACCUGAAGAAGAAAAAUGUCACACUUGGGUUACAACAAAAACCCUUUUAACACUAGUUGCUUUGUAGAAGAAGUAUGAGACUUGCCUUAGCUGUAUACCAGUUUCCCUUUGGAGCAAAAACAAAAGCUUGCCAUGAGUUAUCUUCUGCUUGUCCUGGCGAGUUCAUCCAGUUCUCGGUAUAUAUCUGAAUUGGAAUCGCAGUUAAGUUUUUUAGAAAAAAUAGUUGUGCUCCUUGAACCUUGUGUUUCAUCUGGAGCAAAAAGACAUGAAUGUUGAGCAUGAGACUCACAGUAGAGAUAUAGCACCUUCCAUCUCCUCUGAGCCUCAGGGCUAUGGAAUCAUACCCUUCGAGAUCAAUAAAGCCAUCAAACUACAAUAAUGGGAAGGGAUUUUAGUUAAGUAAGUUGUGCUAAACUCAUUCGAAUCAUUGGUUUUGAUUGAUGAUGUGAUGAUUAGUAAGAAAAAAAGGGAAACCUAUGUUUUUAACCUUCUUUGACCGCAUUCCACAGAAACCACUACGAUUGAUAUUCCAUUUUGAACCUUCGCUCAUAUCCGUAGAGAGGUUCCCAGAGAAAACACCUAGAAGGAGACAUAAAGUGAAAAAAUGGUCACCACCCAAUUGCAGAAAAAAAAAACAUGAUGAGAGGUAAAUGGUAUGAGAAGCAAGAAACUUCAUACUUUCACCUGAGGCUCGAUGAAGAGCUUUAACGGCUAAACCAGAAAAAUUGUAAUUCAAGAUUUUUUAAGAGAAAUCAUUUUUUCGGGUUUGAGCAUGCUCGAUAACGUUUCUAUGCCUCUAGAUAUGAGCAAAUCAUCACAGUAUGUACAAGUCUAAGAAGCAUUCCAAUCCUUAUUCGAAAAUCCGGCUAGCACAAACUAGUUGUAUUGUAUCAGACCCAAGCGAAAAAGCAACAGAAGGAAAAAGCGAGGCACACAUGUUCGGUGUUCCACAAUAUACUUACCAAUACAAUCUGAUCCAUUUCCUCCAUCUUUAAUUUCCAAUGAAGCCGAAGAUAAUCCUACAAAGUAAAAUAUUCACAUGAUAAUGAGCAGAUCACAUGAAGAAUUGUUAUACACUGCAUAUCAGAAAUAUACGUUCAUCUCAGUAAUUGUUAAUAUGAAUCAACAAGGAAUGAAAGUAUAAGAAACUAUCAAAACAGGCAAAUAGGUUGUGUAACAUGAUUAUGAGCAGAUGCCUGAACCCGUGUGCUUUUAAGUACCUCCAUAUUCAGAAUCAGAGUACAGGUGCCAUGUUUUGAGAUCUUCUUUUGAAUUGAACUUGAAUAUACGCUUCUCUACAGGGGGUACCCAUUCUUCGAGUUCCCACGUAAGAGCUACAGUAUGUACAUUGUGAAAAUAUGUUAGAGGCUAGCUAAAAGGAUGCAAGGUAAGAAAAAAGACUAGUCUUGAUAAAAAAUCUUUACUUUCCAAUCAAAGGCACUUGAUUAUUGCAAACAAGAAUAAGUAUAUAAAGUAUUGUCAACUUUUAUAUGCAGACCUAUAGCAAGAAAUUCAUUAAGUACAAGAAAGUGUUGAACAUAGUAAUUAUUGAAGAAAAUGGAAAAAAAUACCCUUCUUUGUUGCAUUCACCGAGGCUUGCCACAAUGAUCUAAAGCGUGACAUAGUUGUAAGUUGCUGGCACAUUCCCAAAUGAAAAUGGAGAAUACAUUAAUUACCCAAUUGAUUGAUAACAAGUGGUUGCAAAAUAGAAAUGAAAGAUCAUCUCUUUGGAAACUCUAGCACAACGCAUAACCCAUUGAAGAGAGGUAAGCAAAUUUACUGCAGCCCAAUUCGGAGCUGAACAUUUUCCCAUUGAGGCAUUUCAACAAACACUUGAAAGACAAGAAUUGAUAAAAUCACAUCGACCCACAGACCAAAACAAAACAAAAAGGACCAAUGACCAAACAAGAAUAUUAUUCUUGAGAAGCCAAAGGAAAUUGCACAAACAAAAACAAGAAAAAUCAAAUCGUCAAGACAAAGGAUUAGUUUUGGUUUCACCUGAGCUUUCAUAUAGUCCCGUCUUUCUCUGCUCAGCAUAGAGUGUUUGGGACUAAGUUAUACCAAACGUUGUCGUUUCAUAACUCCCAUCUCCUUGCGCGGCCCACAAAGGCCCAAUCUAAUUAUAAUAUAUCUUCUUCUUCAUUACAUUUCUGAACAAGACAGAAGUAGAAGAAGAAGUCCCAUGAAGUUUGCUGAAAAGACACACCGAGUGACUUGUCAAUCAUUAGCGUGUCGGAAUCAAUUAACAAGCUUUGAUUUAACUUAACAAAGAAACUUCUCCUCUUUGAUUAUAAUGAUUACAACUUCGUCGUACUUAACUUAAUUAGUUUUGGUCUAACUAAAUACUUAUCUCUAAUAAUUAUUUCGUGCGUCCUUUUCGUCACCACCUAGGAAAAUUAAUGUCGUCCCUUUAUUUUAUCUACCGACUACCAGUUAAUGUUAUAAAUGUAUAAUGCACAUAAAGUGUUGGUAAGCAAUCCCAAUUAGUACAAAUUUAUUGUUGGAGUAAGCUUGAAGUUAACUUAAACCGGAAGUUUUUAGAAGACCAAAACCGAGUUAUGGUUUGUUAGAGAUAAAGAUCAAAUAUUAGGAGUUAUCUAAUAUUUGAUGUAAUCCUAGUGAGAUUAGGAUUAAGAGAGUCUUAUAAAUAGAGGGUUGAGUUAUGACCUAAACAUAUGAGUUUUGAGAGUUUUGGUUUUGAGAGAGAUUAAGAGAGUUUGAGUUUUAAAUUAUUUUCUUAAACUAAUAAAGUGAGUUAUACUUUAAAUCUUGUUGAUCUUAAAACCUUAAAUUUCGUUCUACACUUGGUAUCAGAGCAAAUUCAAGGAUCCGUGAGACAUAUCCCGUGAGAAACCAUGGGAGAAAUCACGGAAGCUUCAAAAACGGCUUUAGCGAAGGUGAUUGACGGAGGAGGAGCUUCAUCCAUCAAGUGUCCCAUGCUAACUUCAACAAAUUACACUGUCUGGGCUAUGAGGAUGAGAAUUCUGCUUCGAGUUCAUAAAGUAUGGAAGAUCAUAGAAGAGUCAUCAGAGGACGAAGAGAAGAAUGACAUGGCCAUGGCUCUGUUAUUCCAAUCAAUCCCUGAAUCUCUUGUUUUGCAGAUUGGAAAAUUGGAUACAACUAAGAAGGUAUGGGAGUCCAUAAAAUCGAAACAUCUAGGUGCUGAAAGAGUCAAAGAAGCGAGGCUACAAACAUUGAUGGCAGAGUUUGAUCGCUUGACAAUGAAGGAUACUGAAACAAUUGAUGAAUUUGCAGGCAGGUUGUCUGAGAUUUCUUCAAAGUCAGCAUCAUUAGGAGAAAACAUUGAAGAGACCAAACUUGUCAAGAAAUUUCUCAAGUGCCUACCUCGUAAAAGAUACAUCCACAUUGUAGAUUCACUUGAGCAAGUAUUAGACCUCAAAAAAACAAGCUUUGAAGAAAUUACGGGACGAAUCAAAGUUUAUGAGGAACGCACCGCAGAAGAAGAAGAGACUCAUGAUGACCAAGGCAAGCUGAUGUAUACUAAUAUGGAAUCUCAACCUAGUCGUGAAUACGGAGGAGAAUAUAGAGGCAGAGGUCGUGGAGGACGCUUCUAUAACAGAGGAAGAGGACGAGGACGGUACAACGGAGGCAGAGACAUCUCAAAAGUUACUUGUUACCGGUGUGACAAACAAGGUCACUUUGCUUCUGAUUGUCCGGAUCGACUACUCAAGCUACAAGAAGCACAAGAACAAGACACGAAAAGUACAGUGGAGGCAGAUGAGCUGAUGUUACACGAAGUGGUUUAUUUGAAUGAAGAGAAAGUUGUUCCAAGCAAGUAUGAGACGAACUCCGGUAAAGAUAAUAUUUGGUACCUUGAUAAUGGAGCUAGCAAUCACAUGACUGGUGAUCAACGUUAUUUCUCAAGCUUGGAUCGAAGCAUUUCUGGAAAAGUGGGUUCGGAGACGACUCAAAAAUAGAUAUCAAGGGGAAAGGUUCCAUUGAAUUCAUUGAUAGGAACGGUGAACUGCGAAAACUGAUUGAUGUUUACUUUAUCCCCGAUUUAAAAAGUAACAUUAUCAGUCUAGGUCAGGCUACAGAAUCGGGCUGCGAUGUACGAAUGAGAGGAGAAUAUUUAACAAUGCAUGACCAUGAGGAAAAAUUACUUGUCAAGGCAGUAAGAUCAAAAAAUCGUCUCUACAAGGUAAUUAUGGGGAUCAAAGAGCCAAUGUGUCUCUAUUCAUCAACACAAACUGAUUCAGAAAAGUGGCAUGCGAGAUUAGGACACAUUAAUCUUGAGACAUUGAAGUCAAUGGUGAAAAAGGAACUUGUAACAGGGAUAUCAAAAGUUAACUUCGAGAAAAAGAUUUGUGGAUCAUGUUUACUUGGGAAGCAAACAAGACAAGUCUUCCCUCAAGCCACUUUGUUCCGAGCAAGCAAAGCACUUGAAUUGAUCCAUGGAGACUUAUGCGGACUGAUUAUACCAAGCACAGUGGCAGGGAACAGAUAUGUCUUUGUACUCAUCGAUGAUUAUUCAAGAUACAUGUGGACAGUGUUGCUUAAGGAGAAGAGCCAAGCUUUUAAAAAAUUUAAAAGGUUCAAGAGUCUAGUAGAACAAGAAACAGGGGAAAAAAUUCAGACUCUCAGGACAGACAGAGGAGGUGAGUUUGUAUCACAAGAGUUCAAUGAUUUUUGCGAGUCAACAGGGAUAAAGCGGCAUCUCACAGCUCCAUAUACUCCCCAACAGAACGGAGUUGUUGAAAGACGGAACAGGACUCUCAUGGAGAUGACCCGAAGCAUUCUAAAACACAUGCGAGUCCCAAAUUUUCUAUGGGAGAAGCCGUGAGACACUCUACUUAUUUAUUGAACAGAAUAGCUACAAGAUCAUUGAAAGACAAGACUCCGUAUGAGAUGUUGCGAUCCAAGGUCCCUAGCAUCAAUCAUCUCAGAGUCUUUGGCUGCAUAGGGUACGUGAAAACAGAGAAGCCUCACCUAAGAAAGCUGGAUGACAGGUCGCGUGUGUUAGUUCACUUAGGAACAAAGCCUGGCUCGAAGGCAUAUCGAUUGUAUGACCCGCAGAACAAGAAAGCAGUAGUAAGUCGUGAUGUUGUCUUUGAUGAAACAAAGGGGUGGAACUGGAACAGAACUAAUGAAGAGAGUGACAACAUAGGCGAACUGAAAAUUGAAUUUGGCCUCUUUGGAAACCACGGGAUCCAAGCAACAGAGCCAAACAGAGAACCUGAAAUCGAAAGAACUGAGGAAGAAGACACCAGAACAGUAGAGAUCUUUCCUAUGGACCAUGAAAGUGAUAAAGACAUAUCUGAGAAUGAAGAUGAAAGCCAAACGGAACCUGGAAAAAUAGUCACCAAGUCGAGAAGAGUAGUUACUAAACCUAAGUACCUUCAAGAUUAUAUCUUACUCGGAGAAGAAGAAGGAGAACGCUUACUAAUGUGCUUAGAUGAUGAGCCGUGGGAUUUUGAUGAGGCUAAGCAAUCAAAGGAAUGGAUGGCUGCUUGCAAAGAUGAAAUUCACUCCAUUGAAAAGAAUAAUACUUGGGAUCUCGUAGACCAACCACAAGGUGUGAAACCUAUAGGCUUAAAAUGGGUUUUUAAGCUUAAAAGAAAUUCUGAUGGAAGUAUAAGCAAACAUAAGGCUAGACUUGUUGCUAAGGGGUACGUACAAAAAUACGGAAUUGAUUUUGAGGAUGUAUUUGCUCCGGUAGCACGGAUUGAGACAAUUCGUCUUCUUAUAAGUCUCUCAGCUUCUAAGGGAUGGGAAAUACAUCAUCUUGAUGUAAAGACAGCAUUUCUACAUGGAGAGUUGAAAGAAACAGUAUACGUAAUGCAGCCGGAGGGAUUUAAAAGAGAAGGACAUGAAGACAAGGUCUACAAGCUGAACAAAGCCUUAUACGGACUAAGGCAGGCUCCUCGGGCAUGGAAUGAAAAGUUGAACGCUGUACUCAAGGAACUUGAGUUCAAGAAAUGCUCUAAAGAGCCAUCGGUCUACAGAAAAUGCGUGAACCAACACGUUCUUCUUCUUGCAGUAUACGUUGACGACCUAUUUGUUUCCGGAACGAGUGUUGAAGUGAUAAAGACUUUUAAGAAAGAGAUGGCAUCAAAAUUUGAGAUGAGCGAUCUUGGUAAAUUGACAUACUAUCUAGGAAUUGAGGUAUGUCAACACACCAAUGGAAUAACAUUGAGCCAAAAAUGGUAUGCAUUGAAGAUACUAGAGGAAGCCGGAAUGACUGAAUGUAACUUGGUUCACACGCCAAUGGAAGUAGGUUUAAAGUUAUCAAAGGCAUCGGAGGAAAAAGACAUUGAUGCUACAAGUUAUAGAAAGAAUGUGGGAUGCCUUCGCUACUUACUUCACACAAGACCGGACUUGUCUUAUUGUGUAGGUGUACUAAGCCGAUACAUGCAAACUCCCAAGGAAUCGCAUGGAGCAGCAAUGAAGCAGUGCUUACGAUACUUGAAAGGAACGACUACUCUCGGGUUGAACUUUAGCCGGUGUAAAGGAACGCCAAAGCUGACAGGUUACAGCGAUAGUAGCCACAAUGUUGACCCGGAUGAUGGAAGAAGUACGAUGGGACAUGUGUUCUACCUUGGUAAGAGUCCUAUAACAUGGUGUUCACAAAAACUGAGUGUGGUAGCGUUAUCAUCGUGUGAGGCGGAAUUUAUGGCUGGAACUGAAGCUGCUAAGCAAGCAAUUUGGCUCCAAGAACUACUAAGUGAAAUCGCCGGGACUUCUUGUGAGAAGGUUAUCAUACUCAUUGAUAACCAGUCAGCCAUCGCUCUCACAAAGAAUCCGGUAUUCCACGGUCGUAGUAAGCACAUACAUAGGAGGUAUCACUUUAUAAGAGAGUGUGUGGAGAACGGACAAAUAGAGGUUGCCCAUGUUCCGGGAGAUGAGCAAAAGGCGGACAUUCUAACGAAAGCACUUGGGAAAAUUAAGUUCAAGGAGAUGAGAGAGCUCAUUGGAGUUAGAGACAUGGAACGAGACGACUUCAAGCUUAAGCGGGAGAAUGUUGGAGUAAGCUUGAAGUUAACUUAAACCGGAAGUUUCUAGAAGACCAAAACCGAGUUAUGGUUUGUUAGAGAUAAAGAUCAAAUAUUAGGAGUUAUCUAAUAUUUGAUGUAAUCUUAGUGAGAUUAGGAUUAAGAGAGUCUUAUAAAUAGAGGGUUGAGUUAUGACCUAAACAUAUGAGUUUUGAGAGUUUUGGUUUUGAGAGAGAUUAAGAGAGUUUGAGUUUUGAGUUAUUUUCUUAAACUAAUAAAGUGAGUUAUACUUUAAAUCUUGUUGAUCUUAAAACCUUAAAUUUCGUUCUACAUUUAUUACUAGUACUUCCUUUUUUAAGAACUACUACAAAUGUAUUACUAUAUCGACUAAUUAAUUAGCCUGUUGUUAGCUGAAUUUAUUUUGUAUGGCUGAAAGUUCAAGAAUAUUAAAAAAUAAAUAUAUAAUAUCUGCAACUGGAAAGGAGAGUAGGGCCAUGAAAUUGGGACCAGGUCACCAACGCGUCAUGAGAGCGACCAUUAUUAUUUCCUUAAAGGAAUUUGCAUAGUAUUUUCUAUUUUAUACACACACAAAAAUAGAUUUGACACUGACACCAUACAAAUGAUAACGCAAAAAACACCAUGAAUAUCGAUGAUGUAAAUCAUUUCUGUUCAUUGUUUUCACAUAUAAAGUAAGAUAAAUGAAUUUGACUCAUCAUAUUCAACCAACUUUUUAUUUUAUUUUGGAACUAAAGCAAUUUCGAACAUCAUCAAAGACCUUCUUUAUUAUGUCAUGAGACCCUUGUUCUAAAAAUCCCCGCCUAGACCCGAUUACUCCCCGUUUAAUCGCUAGGCCCACCCUAUCCGCCUCGAUUAAUGACUAAUCCUCUAAAGAAAUCAGUCAUCCGAUUACUCUCCGCCUAAUCCGAUUACUUCCCGCCUAAUCCGAUUAUUCUCCGCCUAAUCUUACAUACCCCGAUUAUUUUUAGAUUGCUAGUAUAAAAAAACUUUUAAUUUUUGUUAUUCAAUCAUUUGAAUUGGGACUUUGUAAUGUUUUACAAUAACUUAUGUUCAAAUUUUAAUAAAAAUCAUAAAUUUGUAAUAAAAAUCAUAAAAAUUUGUCUCAAAAAUACAUUUUUAUGUAUUUACUGCAAUUUUGAAAAUAAUAUUGGAUUGAUAUGUUUUAAGAAUAUUAAAAUAACCCUAAAACUAAUCCCCGAUUAAUCCUCGAUUUUAAUCCGAUUUUCCGACUAAUCGCUAGGCCCAUGCCGAGCGCCCGACUAGCGCCUAGCGAUUUUUCAAACAAGGCAUGAGACUAAUGAGAAAGAUACGUUACGAAAAUAGAAACAAAAGUUACAAAACCGUCACAUUAAAAUAAAUAUAGAAUUUUAACAAAAAAAAUAAAUAAUAAUAAUAAUACUUAUAGAAACCAAAUUAAACCAACCAGAAAACUUAGUUUGGUUUUCUUGAAAUCAUUGCAUUCUUUUUCUUAUAUAUUAUUGUAUUUUACAACUAAUGGAGGUACUGAAAUACAUUUUGAAGGAAAUAUAAGAUUAAUGUUGUUAAUAGAAAUUUAUUCUUUGUUGGUCGUAACAAAGUAAGAAACUACAUACGCUCAUCAUCAUAAAAUUGCUCAGAAAAACGGAAGCAAAUGACAUGGUUUACGAGAUCACGUUUUGAUCACACACCGCAUCGAAUGAAAAUACAAAUCAGCAACAACAAACAACAACAAAAAAGUAUAUAUUAUACGAAAUAAAUGUAUAAAAUGAAUCGGUCGAUGUCAAUAAGUAUAGAACUCAGCCAAUUCUUCGACGGAUCCUCCUUCUUGACCAGACUUGAGCAUCCACAACAAGUGCUCGAACAAAACGACUUCACAAGCUACAACAAUUUCACGAUCUUGCUCGACGGAUCUAGAAGAAGACCGAUCCACGAGUUCUUGAAAGAGUGGAUGAGAGAUGAUGUCUGGUCUAAGCAUGUAAGGUCUUCGAGUUUGACCAACAUAAACCACAUGGAGAUUGUUGUCCUCUGAAAGCUCGUCCGAAACAGCCGCUGAGGAGGUUGAAUGGUGGUGGUUCUUGGCGAAAGAAGGCCAUUUCUUCAUAGCCGACUUGAGCUUUGUCAGCUUCCCAACUUUGGCCAUUGCUAAUGAUAUAACUGAUCUUUUUUCUUGGAUUUAAAACAAGAGAGUUGUUGAAACUAGCUAGGGUUUAGGGUUUACGAGGAGAUUUAUAUGUGUUGAUGUGAGUGUGUGUGGGGAUCAAAAUAUUGGAAGAAGAAGAGAGGAAUGUUUGAGAGAUGUUCUUGGGAGGAAAUAACGAGGAAGGUUCGUGUAUAUAUAUUGAGUGAAAUAGAGAGAGAACGUAUAAGUGCAUGACCCACCGAUUGAUGCAUAACAGCUAAGAGAGAUGAGGACAUAUAUGGCAAAACUAGUAUCGUUUUUGCCCAUUGUUUUUUCCGUUUUUUUGUAUCCUGUAAUUAUAAACAGAGAUUCGUAAUAAUUUUAAUUUUGUAACAAAUUUUGUUAUAUUAAUUUAUUUAUUUUCAUGUGAUUUAUUUCAUCAGUUGAUAUAUAUGAAAAAUGUAUAAAAAUGAUUUAUUAAUGACGGAAUGAUAACAUACGACAAGAAGUUUGAUAUGUAAUAAGAAAAAAUAGAUUAAUACGUAAAUGUUCUAGAUAAAAACACCACAGAUGUUAACCAUGAUUAGACCAUUUAUCUGGAUAUAUAUAUAUACAUUAUAAAAAUUAAUCUAUUUUAACAUGACAAAAACUAGUAGUAUUGAAUUAUUUGAUACUAUAUACACUAUUUAUCUUACCUGUGACAUUUUGUUUUGCCUACAUAAAUGUCAGACACCACAAAUCCAGUUUUGAAAAUCCUUGAUAAAUAUUCAUGUUUGUUGUAUAAGUUUUUUUGAAUUGUAUGUUAUGAUGUAUUAUAGUAUAUAAUAAUUUGUAGAAAUAUACGUAUACGUGCGGUGUGUGUAGAGAUGUGUAGGCAACCUCUUAUUGCGUGUUGUUGUCUAAUGAUCGGACAAAGAGUGAUGUUUUUUAGAUAACGAUUACAUCUUGUCCACAAUUUUGUUCACUAUUACCCGAUAAUGCUAAUUUUUUGUCGUUCAUAUUAUCAUGUAGUAUAUAGAAAACAAGUAUGGUCUUCAUCUGUCGAUUAACUUUGAUUUUCUUCAUUUCGUAUUAAUAACAUAUAUUAUAUAAUGAACUUUCAAAAACCAUACUACAAAAUUAACGAAGAAUCCUAAAAUCAUAUAAAUAAAUUGCACGAUAUUUAAGCAAAUUAAAAUAGGUUUUAUUGACGGAUGCAAAAACCAAUCACAAGGCAUAUUAUGUUCUUUUAACAAAAUAAAGUCCUUUUAUAUAGUGCAAAGACAUAAUUUUCAAUUAUAAAUAUUGUUCAUUUUUUUCAUAAAGUUUGUUUGGUAUUUCCGAGAAAUUAGGUGGAGAAGACCUUACCGUCUGUCUUUUAUCGAACACAAAAAGUUGUGGAUGGUAAGCUAAUCAUUUUAAGGAAUUUUAGAUACUUCUUUUUUAUAAAUGGUCGAACAUAUACUUGUUUAUGGCAAAAGAAAUAAAAUAGUAAUGUAGUACUCACUCAUCAUUAGACAUUAGAUAACUGUCUUAUCUUAAUAUACUUAUGUAAUUAUUCUAACGAUUUGAUCAAGAGUGAAUUUUUCUUUUUGAAUAGUGAGAAUUUUAAUGAAUUUUUGAAGAUUUAAAGAAAGGAAAAUGGCACAUGCACACACACACGCACAUAUAUAUUAUAUAUAUAUAUAUAUAUGCAUAUAUAUAUAUAUAUAUAUAUAUAUAUAUAUAUAUAUAUAUAUAUAUAUAUAUAUACUAGCAUCACACGAAACAAACAAGCAAUCUGAAUAUUGGAAUACUAAUUACUUCCGAUUCGUCAUCAUUGUACUGAUUAGCAUAAAUCGAGUUAUGAUAUACCUUAAUUAUAUAAAGGUAGCAACAUGAAUUUACUCAAUAUUCUAAGGUAUAGUACUUUUAGAAAUACAUUCUUUUGGAUUAGUUUAGAUAUUACUUAAAAAGUUAGGAACUUAUUUAAGAGAAAUUUUAGAUUAGUUGUAUUGAAAACAAGCUAGGGUCCAAAAUUAAAGUAGAGACAAGCCAGUUGGGAUGUUGUUGUUCAUGUAAGUGCGCGACAAUUGUGCAACUAAUCUACUUUAAUUUUGACUUCUAUAUAAUACGUAUUUCAUACAUUUAAUACUUCAUAUUGUAAAAAAAAAAAAAAAAGCAUAAAGUACCGUAAUAAGUCAUUUUUUCUUUAAGUAUCUGUCUAGAAAUUAAUUGUUAGCGUAGUAGUUGUAAUUUGUAAAUUGUUAUCUAUAAUGUAUAUUAUCGACGUAUGAAGAGGAUUUAUUUGUUCAUGAAUUUUAACUAAUUUAAAAAUACAAAGCAAAAAUAAUUUAUAUUCGUGUUUAAACAGUGGUGUACUGUUUUUUUAUUUAUUUGACCUGAUCCAUUAUGGAUUUGGAUAUGUGUCAGAAUAUUUUUUUUGAUAAUGGAUUUUAGGUUUGGAAAUGUUUUUUUUUUUUUUUUAAUAAGAUUUUUAGGGAUCGGUUAUCCCCAAACAAAGUAAGAUUUUAAGGUUACAUAAGAACUAAGCAUGUCUUAAUCAUAUCACUCAAUUAAAGAUCUAAGAUGAUUUUACUAACUACCCAAUUACUACAACUAAAUCAACUUGGAUUCUCACGCCUGUCAUGAUACCAUCACAUCACUUUAUUCAAAAUUUGUGUUACUGUAAAAAAAAAAAAAAAACACUCAAAAUUUGUGAUAUUUGAACAAUAGUUUCAAGUGAUUAAAUUAAAACAUAAUCGUACAAUAAUUUUCUUCAAGGAUGAAAACAUAAAGUAGAAAAAAAGAAAAAGAAAAACAAACGUCACAAAAUUGGAGUGAUUAUCUCCAGCGUUUCAGUAUAUUAAUACUCAACAACACAAGGAGCCUUGCAUAGCAAGCAACAAGUCUUGCUUCUUACUCUGAUGCUUUGGUCUUCUUCUUUUUCUUCUUCUUUGUGGGCUCUGAUGUUGCUUUUCUUUUAGACUUCGAAUUAUCCUUCUCGUCUUGGUCUAUCAAAUGCUCGUACUCUUCAAGACUCGCAAAUGGAGAUUUCCGUUUUCUUUUCUCUUUCUUUUUCUUCUUACCACGACCAUCAUCACCAUCACUAUCAUCAUCACCAUCACUAUCACCAUCAUCAACAUCUUCCCCAUCAAUCAGGUCCAUGUCCAUGUCUGUGUCCAUCUCUGCAUCGCUCACAUCAGCCACGAGCUCUUCAUCAUCCUCGCCGGCUACUCCAUCUAGAUCAUCAUAGUCAUAUUCACCCCCCUCUUCUUCCACAGCAUUAUCAUCAACAUCAUCCAGCAUAUUCUCAAUCUCCUCAUUGUCACUCUCAUCACUACCCUCGAAUUCAACAUCACUACCGUAGUUUUCUCCACCAUCACCAUCAUUCACAUCGUAAAGUUCUUCAGCAGCUUCUUCUUCAGGUAGCUUCUUCUUCUUCUUCUUUUUCUUUGACUGCUUCGUACUGUUCAUCUUGUUCACAUAGAACUUGUGGAAGACUAGAUCUUCAGGAGCCACAUCUCCUUCUGCUAAUGAGAGAAUCUCAGCUCCAAUCACACGGUUUGACAUGUCAAGCUGCACAUGAGAAGAAAAAGAAGAAAAAAUUAAUCGUUACAGGGGAAUGUAAAUAACAAAAUGGUUAAAGCUUUAAUAGUUUGAAGCUUGAGCUUUUUACCUUCUUGGAAGGUUCGAUCUGGGAACCACCAUGCCAAGUGUUUUGCUUUGGUUUCUUCUCCAUGAAUUUAUCCAAGAAAGCAGUUAGAGAUAAAUCGUUCAGCGGGUUUCCGUUGUAAACAAUAUUUGUUCCUGAGAGAAGGGUUCCCGCCAUUGUAGCAACCGAGGGGUGAGCAUGUUUUGAAAGAACCACCAACUCCCACCAACUUGCACGGUCUGCGUUACUGUUAAAUUGAGAUCAAGGAUUCAGUUCCAACCAAGGCUAUAAUAUCAAAAAAGUUUCUAAAAUACUAUCGUUGUUCCAACUUCCAAGCAUAGCUUGUCAGAUUUAAUUGGGAUAAAAGCAGUAUACUUAAGCUUUUGAUGAAAUAUGAGAUUAACUGACCAGUAAGAAGGUUCUCUAUGACGAGGAUCAUAUCCUCCAGGAAGAGAACUCGAUUUCACAAGCGGUUGACUUCUUUUUUCCAUAUCAUUAGAAACCUCCAUGGUUUCUUGAAGCUGGGGAGUUUCGUUUCUAAUUAGCUCUUCAGAAUCAUCAGAAGCAUAAUCAUCUUCUUCAUCAGAUUGCCUGACUGCCAAAGCCUCUUCUUCAUCUGAAGAAGAAUCACCAUCUCUACUUGUCUUUUCGCCACCAUCAUGAUCAACUUCAACAUCGUUCUCAUCAUUCUCUGCUUUCUUAUUGGGAUCAAUAUCAUCUCCCUCUAUCACAUCCUCAAAAUGUUCUACAUCUUCUUCUUCCUCAACUGAUUCCCUCUGGACCACCAUCUUCCUGCAAGGUAAAUAGAAGGACCGAUUGUAUCAUCGGGUAAAAGCCAUGGAUAUAUGGUUAACAGAACGAACAAAGCUUACCAUAGAGGUGGCCUUGCUUUUAACACUUCAGACAAUAGGAAAAGGCAUCCACAGGCAUACUGUGGUGGCUGUUGAAGCGCAACCUAUUCAAAUAGUUAAAGAGUAAAAUUUUAGAGAUAACACAACAAUUACUAUACAGAGUGUCUCGACAUCGAUAAUUUAAUACCAAAAGAAUCAAGGAUCCUGUAUAAAACAAAUGAUAUAAAUAUUGCCAAUGAAACUAGAGCUAUCAACGACAACGUUGAUAGUUUAUUUUGUUCAUGUUACCGACCUGCAAGACUCUUUUGGAGAAUGCAGCCACACGCUUGACAUUUAUAUCAUUUUUCAUGGCUCUGAGAAGAAGCCCAAUAAACAUUUCAACCUGCAAUUAAAAACAGCAAAUUAGUAAACUCGGUUAUCAAGAAAAUGCUAUGGUUCAUGCCAGGGGGAGACCUAUUGAUGUUUUUGUCAGAAAAUAUAAGUUGCUUUCACAAGUUUAGAAAUAAUUGAAUGUACCUAUUGUAAGGAUUAUAACCCAUUCAUUAACUAAGAAUAAAAUGACGUGAUUGGAACAUGGAAAAACAGAAGCUUCAAAAUUUAGCUUGCCUUGGAAGAAUUCAUUGCGGAAGGGAGUAGAAGUUUCGAGUACAGUGCACGGUAAAACCUGUCACUAACAAUCUUAUUCUUGGAUGAGAUCUUGUCAAGAAGCAUCAGUGAUUGAACUCCCACAUUGAAAUUCGCCGAGUGUACCUACAUACAUUCCAGAUCCCAUUUUCUUUAUCAAUUUUCUGUUGCAACUAAUGAAACAAAACGUAUAUAAUGAAGCUUUAAUUAAUGGUUACCAGUUUGAACAGCACCGGCGUCUGGGAUUCAAUUAUAUCAUCAGCCUCAUCAGUGGAAACAUAUGGAAAAGCUCUGUUAACUCCCUGCAAUUACGGAGUACUAAGGCAUAAGUUGAUCUCUAAAGUCUCAAAGCUUUAAAAUUAUGUUAUAUCAUGUACACCAAAAAAACCCAUUCGGACUAACCGUCAGUAGAGCUGAUAGAAUUCUUGAAUCCAACUCAAUAGGUGAAUCAGUUGCCACUUCUUGUUUUGUGUCCUUUGGGUUGGAUUUUUUCUUAUCAGCGGCUCCUUUGUCAUCUGCGCCUUGUUUCCUAUUUGCUUCUGUAGUUAAAACCUACAAGAAUGCAAACACACUCCUGUAUCUCAGACUUGAGUGAAUACCCAACUGGUGAAAGAUUUCAUGUUAUGACUUAUGACAAACGCCACCCCAAGGGGGGACAAGACUUUAAGACGAUCAUAAGAAAAUGUUUAAUUAGAUUGACUUCAGAUGCCAGUUACCUUAAAUAAGGCAAAAUAUACAUCAAUUAGACGUUUUGCCACCUUCGGAUCCUCUCCUUUGUGGCUCAAUCGGAUCUGACUCAAAAAGUUAACCUGUGAAAUUUACAAGGGUUAAUGAGCAUUGUUUAAGAAAAGUUAAACAUGGAUAAGUUUAUGCUUCUUUUCUUCUCUAAAGUCUCAGUAAAAUGGUUUCCCAUUCAAAUCAAAGAAGCCAAAUAUAAUAUUUUUGAUGACAAUAAGCAUGAAUUAGUUUAAAGAGAUGAGUAAGAAAAUAAAGAAAAAUGGUUCUCGUGAACCUAAUUAGAGUACAGCAAUGGAAAAUGGACAUACAGCAUGAUAUUUUGCACGUAACCCAAGAUGGGGUCGGAAGAGAAAGGAGUCAACUUCAUCUAUAACCACAGCCUGCAAAAAUAAUAUUACAUGAGCCAAAGAGAAGAAUCCAAACAACCAAUCAAUAAACUAAAUCCUGAAACUGGCAUAGAAAGGUUGAAUAGCCGCACCUUCAUGUUAGGAUGAUCCGCCAAAAGAUUUGUCAGGUGAUAAUCAGCAUUAGAUGCACUCUUGUUUUGAGGAUCCCCCAACUAUAUAAGUAAUCCACGGAACAAUUAAGGGGAUCACAACUGAGAAAUUUAAAUUAGAUACAAAUAUUCGAAAGAACAACUGACAAUACCUUGUUCACCAAUGACACUAGCAAUUUCCGCUCUUGUUCUGAUUUGCUUGUCAACAUGAAAUAUAUUGUCUGAAAACAAACAAAAUAAACAUUUACUAAGGAAAGAUCUGAAUCACCUUACGAAGCAAAAAACUCACUAUAGCUGAAAGAAAACCAAGGACCAUGCAGUUAUGCAUCAUCCAGAGAAGGAUUACAUUGAUAAUACUCAAAUGUCUAAUAUGAUAGCUCAUCAUGAAUCUUACAAAACCUGAGACCAGUGCUACUAAACAAGCUAGCGGGUGCAGAGUGGUGAUAGGAUAUACAUACCUUCAAAGCCUUGUCUUUAAGCUCUGGAAGCAUAUCUUUAGAUGAUUCAUCAAGGGCUGUGACGAAGCGCUCAUACCUACAAAGUCAGCAUGGUAAGCUGUUAACCGAAUCAUCGAUCCAGAACUAUUACUGAUAGAAGAUACAAAUCUUGGACAUAGUGUGAUAAACACAUCCCUCGUGGCAUGAUUUCAGAUCUUGAAAGAAGCUUAACAAAUAACGUGAUGUCCCUACAGCUAGAAGCAAAAUGACAAGAUUUUCUUUACCUCUGUUUCAAGCAAUCCUCCCAGUACCAAAACAGCAAAAGCGAGUAACCAUCCUUAUUUUCCGGAAUCCUGUUUAAGGGUCGCUGUAAAAGUGUCUUCAGCUUGCGAUCAGGUAAUAACCUGGAAAAAAAAAGCUCAGUUAACGAGAAAAAAAGAUGCAAGACUGAUAUGAUUCUGGACACAUAAGUCUAUAGCUCAUCGGGAGAGUAAGAAAAAUGUGCCUGAUCAAAAUUUCUGAUAGAGCCUUAAGACCCUUAAAUGCAAAUCUUUUUCCAACUUUUGAGGUCACCAUUCCUGCAAUGAACGAGACAUCAACAAAAUGCUACAGGUGAUUUCACCAUUGGAAAACAAAACGACUCAAAUUCGCAAUUCACAAUUCAAUAACACAGUUUUCUUCGAGAACAAGAAACAUACCCAAUAAGGCAUCAAGAGACCUCAUAUUUGCAAUGGGAUUCUCUCCAACCAUGAUCUCAAAGGCAGUGAUUUUAUCAGCUACUGUCCCAGACUUUUGAGCAGAAAUCACCAUCUUCAUAUCUCCACUCUUUCCCUUCGAAAUUACAAAGUCCUCUGCGUAUUGCCACAUCAAUCUCUCUCCUAAUUCUCUCUUCUUCUCCACCACACCCUUAAAAUCCUCCUUAUUCGUCACCGCCACUUUCCUGCCACCAAACACCUUCUCCUCAAGCUCCGCUGCAUCAUUGUACCAUUCCGAGCUCAAUAAACUCGCUUUCACCAAUGGUAACUUAGGCAAACUCUUGAAUUCAUCGAAACGUUUGGCCUUAAUCCCAGUACUCUCAUCAUCAAUCGAUAAAAAUCCAGGCUUUGGCUUCGGUUGUAUCGUUUGCUUCACUGGCGCAUCUUUGUUUUGCUUACUCGCUCCAAAAGCGUUUCCCUCUUCAUUCCCAAUGUUCGAAUUUGGCUCUCCUUCUUUAACUUCAUUCUUGUGUUUCUGAUCCUUCUUAGGUUUUUUCCGUUUCUGGGUUUGGGAUUUAGCGGGUUUUCGGAAAUCAGUAUCGUUGAAACCAGAAGAAGGAAGAGAUGAAGCUAAGCCGAUAGAAGAAGCGAAUGAUGCGAUAUCAGAUGUGAGAAGACUCAAGUCCUGCGAUGAUUUACUCAAAGGCUUUAACUUUGACAUUUUUUUUUUCUCCGAGCAUAUGAAGAGGGUUAUGAGAUUUGUGGAAGAACGGAGACAAUUAGGUUUAAUCAAUCUCUGUGCUUUGAGAUGAGACAAUGAAAAAGAAAGAAGAAAUUUCAGUGUGGGGGUUCAACAAGUUUUGCUAGGGUUUUAGAAAACGGCAAGAGAGAAACAGAUGAAAUGGCUGAAGGGUAAUUUAGUAAUUUAUGAUAUAAGACAAGGGCAAAACAGACUUAACGACCUAAAUCAAUAAGAUGAUUUUUUUUUUAGUUGGGUUCCUGAGACGGUCGAAGCCCAAUUGCUAAAACAUGCGUUUAGUUAUAUAGUCUUAUUAAGACAGAUAAAAAACAUAAAGGACAUUAUGUAUUUUAUUUUAAAUAAUUUUUUUACAAAAGAACAUAUUAAACCGAUGACAAAACCUCAGCAAAACCGACGGUGCGAAAUCUCUCUCUUUCUUCUCUCUCUAAUAUUUUUCAGAGAGAUGGGGGUUUCUUCGAUGUCAUCACCGUCCGGCUUAGUUUGCUGGAUUUUGUGACCGGCCGAGGUCCGUUAUCACCAUCAGUUUAGCCGUAACACGACUUUUCCGUUGUCGUGUUUUUGCCGUCAACACGACUUUUCCGUUGUCGUGUUCUUGCCGUCCGAUCUGAGUUGACGAUGAACCAUCUUUUGAUGGAUCGAUCAAUUUAGUAUAUCUAAUUUGUGGCGAAAGGUUAUUUGAAUAAAUGAGUUUCGUAAAGCAAAAAUCAAAAAGCCAAAGAUGAUGGAAUUUUCUGGGGUUUCGACCAUGUCCUUUUGGUAGACGACGUGAAUUAAGCUUCCAUGCGAAAUCUUCAUUAGCUUUCUCUGGUGGUCCAAUGGUAUCACUAGUUUUCCGGCGGACUCUCGAAGUGCUCAUCAUCGUUCCGGUUAUCGUCAUCCUACGAACAAGAUGUAGACACGUGGCUUUCCUCCUUCAAUGGGUUAUCUUGUUUGUUUGGGUUGAACCGUUGAAGUGUUUGGUGACACGUAGACUUAAAGAAUACUUGCUUUAUGUGCUGGCUCGUAAUGUUUAUAUUUUUGUUAUCAAGCUUUUAAUUAUGAAGUUCAGGUUUUAUCACUUUUUAGUUCUAAGUUUAGCAGUUGGAUGGGUCACAGUUUGAAGAUUUCCAUGAUGUCUUCAAAAGAUUCUACUACUAAUCUAUGUUCUUCUGAUACGAUGGUGUGCAAGAAGCUGUCAUGACAUAGGCAUAAGAUGGAAGCUAUAAGAUCAGAUUCGAAACUUGGUUUUCGUUUUUCUGUUCUUAUUGGAGAGUCAUGAUGAUUUGCUUUUACCAAAUGCUACCAUGUUAGAGCCUUCUCUUUAGUAGCUGAAUGUUGUACCCUUCUCUGUAUUUCUAUGUUUGUAAAGUCUUGUGUUUUAUAUUUUUACUCUGUAUUUCUCUGUUUGUAAAGUUAGGUAUGUGUUGUAUCUCUUGUCCUUGUACUUGCCUCUUCAAAAUGGAUUUCCAUUCAUGGAUGAUGCGUUUGUCUAAUAUAAUAGAAAUCACUUUCUGGAAAAAAAAAAAA
rnacentral:lncRNA from 1 species